rnacentral:lncRNA from 1 species
GUUCAGAAGCUGAGACGGGACUUCUAAGAGACUUAAAGCUGCACAUGCUUGUCUGCGCCCCGUCGUGCUCCGCGGAAGGCGGAAGGAACCUGAGUCACCCGUGUCCAGGCCUUCCACGCCAACACCUAAGUCCCGGCGGGUCAGGGCCCCCGACAGCAAGUACACCCGAGCAGUGCCCUCGGCUCCUGGGCACAUGGGCAGCCACUCACUGCAAGGAGGCGCGCCUCCCGGCUACGCAAGCCCCCAGCCUGGAGAAGCCCCGGACUUCCUCUCUCACCCAGCUCCAGCCUCUGCUGUCCCCUCGCUUCUCCAAAGCCAGACAUUCACAGUCAACUGCUACAUGCUUCCUGGACAAUGUCUUUAUUUUUACUCCCCAGCUUGUGGGCUGAGUCUGUGUGGGUGUGGGAGGAGAGCUGGGUAUUUUCUACUUCUCUGCAUUUUCCUUCUGAACUGGGCUUUCACUUCCUCCCCCAACUCUCAGUUCUGCCUUUCCUGGGCUGUCCGGCCUCGAGACCACCUCGCCCAUCCCUCCAGACCACCAGGCAAAGAGAGACUGACUGCAAAGGGCUGCCGUUGCACUGCCCUGCAACCUCUUAGGAGCCAAGAUAUUCCGCUUCUUUGUCCUACGUCCUGCUCACCUGUAAGACGCACUGGGAUGUCUUCUGCAGGAAGGCGGUCGGCUCUCUUCCCCACUUCCCUGGAACGCGUUCAUCCACAAAGUCGGGUUGGGGGCCCAUCUCUUUGCUCCCCCAAAGCCCACACUGACGUUGAUCACCACCCUGAUUUGCCCACCACAACACAAAGCCCAGCGGUGUAUCCUCACUGCUGACAGGGCCCGGCCCCGUGGAGAGGGCUUCGUCUCCAGGGAGAUGUGCCCUCCAAGCUCUCUGGCCUCUGUCAAGCCCCACCAGAACUCUACACUAAGUGGACGCUCAAAAUUCUGGUUUUUGUUUUGUUUUGUUUUGUUUUUUUAAGAUUUUCUUUAUUUGAGGGGCGCCUGGGUGGCUCAGUCGUUAAGCGUCUGCCUUCGGCCCAGGGUGUGAUCCCACCGUUCUGGGAUCACCUCGCCUCAGGCUCCCCUGCUGGGAGCCUGCUUCUUCCUCUCCCACUCCCCCUGCUUGUGUUCCCUCUCUCUCUGGCUGUCUCUGUCAAAUGAAUAAAUAAAAUCUUUAAAAAAAAGAAAAAAAAAAA